CGAUACCAAAAGCUGUUGCAGUGUUCCGUGGAGCUGACAUAUGCUGGACGCUCUCGGUUCUCACAUCACUCGGAGCAAACGCUGCAGUCAACAGAAUCUUCUCGCUCACCAAACAUGGGUGAUGAGGACCACCUGCCAGCUAUUCCUUGUCACAGAGUGUCUUCAGAAUUGCCAUUGUCUGUCCAAAGCCUCCUGAAUGAACGUAACCGACUGGCGGCCAAUGGAGAGCUGGACAAUGCAACUCGGCAGUGUUUCAAUCAUGCCAUACAGCUCCUGAAUGUCCAGUCCAACAGAAUACAGGACAAUACCACUCUGGUGCUUGACUAUGGCAUGGUCUCUGAAAAGCAGUUUGUGUCUGGGACUCGAGAAAAUGAGAUUGUCGUGUAUUGUGGUGAUGAUGACAUGAUCUGCCACACCAUCAAAGUGGUGGGAUGGAGAAGCUGGCUUGCUCAAAAGUUUUCCCAGGCUCCAUCACAAAUAUUAGCUGUGAUUAUGAACAUCUUACGGCUAUGGUUCCAACGCCCCCAGAGGGGUCACCAACCCUUACCCAUGUGAUGCAGGAGUCACCUGUCAUUUCCAGAUUGCAAGAAAGAGCAAUCUCAUCUUUUCAAUAAACAAUAUAAACUAAUUUACAACCUGCUUCCUUUGUUGGGAUGAAGUUCCGGCGUAUUAUCUGUGUACUCCGCUCUGAUGUCGAGUUGGUUAUUUCUGUUGAGUGAAGUUGAGUAUGUGCACUUGUACAGAAUGGAGAAGGUUCUAGAAGAUCAUACACUCCUCACCUUUAUGGGGUAAUGCCCUAAUUUUCAUGAGGAGUUGUGUGCAGAGAGAGGAGUCUCCGUCGUUGUAGUCCGUGUGAAGGGAGCAGCCCAGGAGAGCGGUCUCUGUGACUGAGGCUUGUUUGUCAUGGGCAUUCAACUCUUCAUCUUCAAUUGGUCCAUCAUCAUUGGUUAUUGUGGACAUCUGCCCCUAAAUCCUGAACUAGGCUGGAGUAACUGAAGAACACACUUACCUGAGACAGAGGAGUGCCAAGGAAUUGGGAGUCAAGUUGGACCAGACUGUUAUCUCCCACCAGCAUCUGGAAGGGGUCCAGGGUAAGGUUAACAUCAGAGGAGAUCUUAUCCGUCACCUCGAUGGCGCCACCUGGGAUGCCGGCUUCCAAACGUUUUGCACCUCCACUCCGACACUUGCGUAUGCUCCUGCUGAGUACUGCGCACCGCUAUGGGGCCCGAGCACACACACUAAGUUAGCUGCUUCCAGCCUUAACAGCGUCACAAGGAUUUGUACUGGGUGCGUUAUGCCAACCCCAACCAAACGCUUGCCAGUCCUCUCAGGCAUUCCCCCACCUGACAUCCAGAGACAAGCUGCGACCCAGGCCCUAGGCCUCAAAGCCCAAGAUUGGGACCAUAAUGGAUUGUUGCGGGGGUAGCAUGAGGCAGGGGGAGCUGGGAGCCAGGACACCUGGGUUUUAUCCCAGGCUGGUUAGGAAGUAAGGGGCAAUGUGUUAUAUCAGGGGCUGUGGCUGGGAGCCAGGACACCUGGGCUCUUUCCCCACUGCUCUCCCUGGCAGAGGUGGAGUGACUGUGGCGUGUGGCCGAAAGCGGUGUCCUGUCAGGGGUUAAGUUCUCAGAGCUGCUAUUGUCACCCCCCCCCCGUUUCUGUUGCUGGUAGCCCGGCACCAUUUUGUGGUUUCCUCCCUGCUAAAAUGGUGCCCACUGGAGAAGUGGGAGGUGUCAGGGCUUCCUCAUCUCUUAGUGUCGUUCUGUCCUGCCUCCAUGUCACUCACAGCAGGCAUGAGUCACUGCAACUCCUACAGCCUGUCCCCUCCAUCACGGGAUUCCUCCUGUAGGUUUGGGCCAUGCCCCUUCCUCUGCACAAAUGGAGCUGGCCAGGCUGCCCCUCCACCCUCUUCCUUGCGGCCGUAUGGGGUCCAGCUGCACCCACUCUGGGCACUGGAUCGGGUGCACCGGGCAGCUCUGCCCUGCGGAGGAACCAGACACUGCCUGGGCAGCCCAUCGGCCAAAAAGGUAGAGCGCCGCUGCUCACAACGACCGCCGGCUCUGUCUGCUCGCGCUCCAGCACCGCAGUUUCACUCUCAAGACCAUCGAUGGCCGGGAAAGACACCCCAGGAGACUGAAGAACGGUGUCCCGCAAGGCUCGAUACUUUCUCCAUUGCUUUUCAACUUGUCCCUUGUCGACCUGCCUGACACCCAGGCCGAGAAGUAUGGCUAUGCUGACAGCCUGGCUCUGACCAAAUCAAGCAAGCAAUGGGAAGCCACUGAAUCCACUUGGGUUUUGUCCCAGGCUGGGUAGGGAGCGAGCCUGUCAGGGCUCGAGGCCACAGAGCUGCCACUGCAGCCCCCCCCACCCCCUCCGUUUCUCUUGCGGGUAGCCCGGCGCCAUUUUGUGCUUUCCUCCCUGCUAAAAUGGCUGUCAGGGCUUCCUCAUCUGUUAGCGUCGGUCUGUCCCACCUCCGUGUCACUCACAGCAGACGCGAGUCAUUGCGACUCCUACAGCCCCUCCCCUCCCUCGCGGGAUGCGUCCGGGUCCCAAGGGACCACCUGCCCCCAACUGUUCCCUUCCUCCACAACCUGCGCCAUAAAAGGAGCCGCCCCCUCACUCCUUAACCACCCUCGGCCAUCGCCACGGCAGGAACAGUCUUGCCCCGCAAAGCCCUUCCAACCACCCGUCACCGGGACAGGAACUGCCGCGCGUUUCUCAACACUAUGACAGGAAAUGAGCCUCUCCUCUCUCUAACCAUUGUGACAGGAAAUGUCUUCCUGGGGCCCCCUAACAAGACACACUUCCCCCACCACCCUGCUGCCAACACUGUGAGAAGAUUUCCCGCGUCCCUAACUCCCAGAUACAGACAAUGAGGGUAGGAAGGGACCUCAGGAGGUCACAUCUAGUCCAGCCCCCUGGUCCAAGAAGGACCACCCCAACGACACCAUCCCAGCCAAGGCUUUGUCUAGCUGGGUCUUAAAAGACCUCUGAGGAUGGAGAGUCCCCCACCUCUCUGGGGAGCCUGUUCCAGGGCUUCACCACCCUCCUCACGAGAAAGUUUCCCCUGAUCUCUAACCUCAGAUUCCCUUGCUGCACCUUGAGCCCAUUGCGCCUCCUUGUGCCCAGCCCAAUGCCCCCCAGAAAGCUGGCUGCACAUCCUGUCCCUGUUAAACCCCCACCCAGAGUCAGCCAUAGCUCCAUCCUCUAUUUUUUCCACUCCGAUUCCCCGCAGAGCCAGCUGUAAUUCCUGUUCUCCUUAUACACAGUGUAACAACCUCAGAGGCAGCUGCAGCUCCUGUUCCUGUUAUAUCCAGUCUGACCUCUCCCCCCCAAGAAUCAGCAGCAGCUCCUCUCCCCAUUACAUACAGCCCAACUCGCCCUUCCAGAAGCAGCUGCAGCUCCUAUCCCUGUUAUACCCAUCUUUGCCCUGCCCGGGGCCAGCCACAGCUCCUACCCUAUUAUACCCAGCCUGAUCUCCCCCUCAGAAAACCCACCCAAUAGAAACACCCCUAGUCCUUCUCUCAGGACCCUACUAACCAUCUUCCACCCCUUUCAGGAAACACACACCACCUGCUUCUCACUGAGUCUCUAAGUCCCAGCUGCCUGGUCCCCUAUACUUUCAUCAACAAGCCUGUUGGGUGUGUUCCCCUCCCCCUUCCUGACCACAUCCUCCCAUGUUUCUGGAACUAAUGAUGUGUAAGAUCAUUCGUUGGGCGUGUGACAACGAACUUGAUGACAAAGUUGUACAGCAUCAGGACACUGACGAGGUGAAAGCGCUCGCUCCUUAGUGGGACACUGCUGACAGGUCUCUGUGGGGCCAGGUUCAACUACAAAACCCUGUGCAGGGAAAAUGAAGGGUGAAAUGGGGCAUACACAAGCGGCCCCCAGCCUGAGAUCUUCCCAGGAAGCCAUGCCAACGCCGGAAGAAAUGUCACGGACAAUGCAUGCCCAUCUCCGGAGACAGCCUCAAGGGGACAGCCACGAUGUCCAGCCCUUGAGCGUCGCCCAUCUCCUGCACACCCGGAACCGCCUUCAGCCUCUCGACUCCAAGACUCCCCACCUCCGCUCCUGCUUCAACCGGGCCAUGAUGGAACUCGGUAGCGAGCCUGUGUGCGUACAGGACAAUGCUUUUCUGGUGCUGCGGUGUGACGGCAAGGAGCUCCACUUCCUCUCUGGCAAUGGUGAAAAUCAGAUCACUGUGUGGCACGAUGGCCAAGGUGCCUGCUGUGAUGUCAAGGUCAAAGGGUGGUGGGCCUCCAUUGCCAGGUACCUCACCCGGCCCCAUGCCCACAAGGCAUCCCCACGCAGCCAAUUGGUGGCUGCUUCCUAGGCCAACCUCAGUGAAAUACCAGUCAAUGGACACCACAUCAGAACUUCACCCUUUCAUCAACUCAUUUGCAGUAACUUUAACCCUGCAAGAAACAGUGUUAGAGAUGACAUAGUUUGCAUACAUUUGUAGUCACUAUAGAAGUCUGAAGUCAAUUAUUCACAUCCCAUGCUCCCCCUUUUUGAGAACUGGCAGUCAAAAAUUGGUGUGUCCAUGUCCUAUAUGGAAGCCUAUUCCAAACAGAUUAAAGGGAAAUCUUUUUUGUAUCACUGAACCUUCCUAAAAACAAGGGGCAUAGCCUUAUUUGGGGGGGGAGGGGGAGUAUGCUAGUAAAUAUGGUAGCUUCAUUGUAACCACUGUUAUGACUUGCUAUGUGUGGAGUCAAUGCUUUCAUUUAUGUGCUAGGAUACACCUGCCUAGCAAUGGCUUUGAGGGGUAUAUGUGCAGCUGGGAAGAUACCCAGGUUUAGGUCAGUGAUGCUCAACCUUUUGGCUCUGCUGGGCAGAGGAACAGUGCAAGGUCUCUAUGGGGUCUUGGGUCAUGUCUGUGUCCCCUGUGUGCCAGAAUUGGGUCCCAGGAGACAGGAGCCAUCCUCUCCUGACCCCCAUGUGCUGGAAUUGGCCCCUGGAGCCACCCCCCAUGCAUUAGGGUUUAAUUUUAGGGUCCUGACACCACCCCAUCAUGCCCCCAUGCUUCAGGGGUCUUAAACACCACCUCCUACCCUCCAUGCACGAGGUUGGGGUCCUAGGGGUCCAGUGCCCUCACCCUAGGUUCCAGCCCUCACCCUAGGAUUGGGGGCUGGAUCUAGUGUACAGGGCCCAGGGCUCUGCAUGGGUCCAGAGAUUUGGCAGCGAGGGGGAGGGGUGAUGAAACAGCUCCCCCACUACCAAAUUAUUAUAAGUUUGGGGAGCCAAAUAGGCCAGAUGACAAGGCACCAUGAGCUCGUCCUGAGCAGCGGGCUGGGGAUUGAAUAUACCCACUUUAGGUUGGCACACUUGUACCUGAUUCAACAUAGUCUUAUUGACGCCCGAUGUGCAUAUUUUUCCCCAAAUCACAGUCCUCCAGCACUGGGACACUUGCUUUGAACAGGCACACUGCUUUCUUUUUCCUUGAAAUAGAAGCAUGAAGACACUGUGCUCUGUCCAUGCUUCUUUCUGGGACAGUAAGCGGGAAGGAGCAGAGUCGAGGAGAAACUCUUACCACCACUCUCAAAUUGGCAGCAGCUUUUUGCUGCAGAUUAACUCUAGAUGCUCCUGAGAUGGGUGGGGAAACAGUAGAUAUGCAUUUCAUGAGUUGUUUACGGGCGGAGUGUUUACUGUCUCAAAGGUACAGUUGAGACACAAUUUAGUUUGGUUCUCAGCUACCUGAACACUCAGAGAAGCGCUGGGGUUACAAGGAUGCUCCAUCCAGCAGAGGAAGGGAGAACAGGAAACUGGCUAAAGGUCAAUGCCAGCCAAGCUCUUCCAAUGCUGAUGGACCUCAGGAAGUAGUGAGUUCUCUAAGGCAUCUGAAGUGUCAUUGGCUGAUGUUGAAGGCAAUGGAGAUGUUCAGGAGAUGGUCUUGAGAAGGCAUGGGAGGGUGGGCCUUGUCAGUAAUUGACUCAGUUCUGGCGGGAAGAAUGUAACUGAACCUCUUGCCAGUUGGGAACAAUUCACAAAAUCAUGUCUGCCAAAAGGAUUUUCAGCCAUGUGUCUUGAACCACUAACAUUACCUUGUGAUUUCACUUUUGUUUAUUUUACGUGAGAAACCUGACAAUGAUUUCAUCAGUCAAAGUUGCAGAGGGUGCUUUUGGCCAUCCUUAAAUAAGGUCCGGGAUUCAUCAGCCAGACACAGUAGUCAUUUUCAAAAAUAUAUUUAUCUAUCUAUUUACAUUUUUUAAAUGUUUGGAUCAUCAAAACUAGCAAGAGGAGCAAAAGAGCCAUAAGAAAUAGUGCCUUCUGUGUGCAUCUACAUGUGCAACUGAUGCGAUGCAAUAAACUUUGGAGCAAUAUGAA